AUCCCCACCCCAGUCAAUGGAACAGCAAUGAAAUGGUUCAGCAGAGAAGAAAAGGAAGCAGAAGAUGGUUGGAGCAACUUGGAAGAAACUUGCUUGCUGGCUGCACGGCAGAUUUAUGUGGCUGCCCAAUUUGCAAUAGCAACGCUGAGCAACUUACAGUUUGAAGCAAGAAAUGAAUGAUACAACGCAAUGCAACGAAAUCUAAAAGACAUAAAAAGAAGAGGGCAGCAGAAUAAGAGACGCAACAAUAAAUAACACAAGCAAUUGAAGCCAAUCAACACGUUUCUUGGGAGCCAUGGCCCAGCGGUUAAGACACUGGGAUCGUUGACUGGAUGGUUCAAGACCCUGGCACCAUGUGAUGGGCUGAGCUUCCAUUCCUGCCCCAGUUCCUGCAGUUUGAAAGUAUGCAAAUCAGUUUCUUGCUACUGGUACAGGCCAAAUAACUAUUAAGAGCCGGAUGCCAGCAGUUCGAUUCUCAUCAACUCAAGGUUGACUCAGCCUUCUAGCCUUCCGAGUUUAUCAGAUACCCUUACCAGCUGCUGGUACCAAAACUGGUGGAUACAAUAAGAAACACAAAGAAAAUCCAGAAAUGUAAACAUCAGAAAACCUGAUCAACUAAGGCGCCGAGGGAGUUUCCUUUGUUAUUGGAUGAGCUGCAGAAGGUGUGCUUGCUAAGGAACAGAAUGGGAAUGUCAAACUUGGAAGCCAUGGCAUGAAAGGGACACUCUUUUGUCUCCCGUUGAAGAGUAUUUUGGGGCAUGAAAAGUAUACAGAUGUGUGUGUGAGAGAGUGUACUUGCACACAUAUGAACCUAGUUCGAGCCACAUUUGUUAAGGAAAGAUCAGCAGGAGGCCAUUGAUUCUCCAAGCAAGCAUGAACAUUUCCACUGAAGAUCCCUCACCCUACUCUGAGUUAAGAAUGGUCUAAGGGACUCACGGCUGAGCACAGACUUAAACUGGAAGCCUUUUUGGAUCAUUGCUCGUUUUUCUCAACUGUGAAUUGUCCAGCUUUCUCUGCAUUUUCCAGAUUAUACUGUCCUGGUCAUCUGGAGACUCUUCUUCUCGCCACAGUUCAAGAUGGUGUUCAAGACACUGCCUCCUAUAAUUCUUUUCCCACAACAAUUCUCUGAGCCCAAGACAGCGAACAUAUCUUCCUCCUAUUUUCCCCCACAACAUCCCUGUGAGGCAAAUUGGGCUGAGAAGAGGGGACUGGCCCAAGGUCAGCCAGCUGGCUUUCAUGGCUAAGGAACCGAGGCACCGCUUUGAAGAUUUGUGCAGCCCUAAUCACAGCUGCAGCGGAGGAAAGAUCUUGAAUCUCUUGGCUGCCUUAGAAAAAGCUUCUUCUUUCAGCUUUAUAACCGAGAGCUGCCAAGUGCCGUUGGGAUUCUUGCUUGGGAAGGAAAACCUUGGGCCACUGUCCUUGUGCCUUUGCAUCAACAUCAAGAGAUAUAAGUGACCACAGCUUAACCUUCACUGGCCUGGAGUGCCCUCUACUGCCCUUUGUUGACCAAGUGACUUUGUAAUCUAUGUCCUCCUCUGAAAGGAACGGAGAAAACUCAACAAAAGGUGGUGAAUAAAAAACAACAACACCCUUUGGCUUGUUCUUUUGAGAUGGUCUACGAUGUGCAAAAUGCAUAAUAAAGCACCGAAACUGAACAGGUUUUAUACAGAAAGAAACCUUCAGCAUUGACAAGUAAGAAAGAAAGAAAUUCAUUUAAUAAAGGCCCAACAGGAAAGAAAAACGGAUCGGUGCCCCAGCAAGAUAAAACACAUCUGAAUUUUCCUACCGUGGUUUACAGUGCAGGACACUCCCUAUGACCCAUUUCAAUGCACUACAAGAAACACCCAUGUGCACAGCCGAAGACAGGGUAUAUUUUGGGGAAGAGAGGAGGAGGAGGAGGAAGAGAAGGAAGGAAGGAAGAAGGGAAGAAGAGAGGGAGGGAGGGAAGGAGGGAGGGAGGGGGAAGGAAGGGAAGAAGGAAGGAAACAGAUGCUCAAGCUUCUCUUUUGUUAGUAGCAAUAGUAAUAACUUCUUAGCUUCUUGGAUGAUAUCAAGGGAGAUUUCUGCAAACAUAUUGGUGCUUUGGGGCAAGAUGAUUAAGAGACAAAGAAACCAUCUUAAGAUAUAUUGGAAUAUACCUCUUUUGACAGCUUGCCAAUGUAUCUGGCUGCAUUUGGACAAUGCAGAUGGGUAGCCAUAUUGAACAACCAAUCAGGUUGGCUCGGGGGAUCCAGAAGACACAGAAUUAGAAUUAUGCACUUAGGAAGGAAUCUCCAAAUGUAAUUCAAAUAUUGCACUAGAGUAAGACAUGGGAAUCUGUGUGGUUCUCAGGGUGUUGCCGGUCUACAGAUUUCAUGAUCUCUUAUAUUCCUGUAAGCAAUUCUGGGUGAGAACAGUAGAAGCUAGAAUCCAUUAAUGUCUGAAAGGGCAGCAGGUUCUCUUUGGUAGAUGAAAAUGAAGCACACCCUGAGGUUAUGCAAGAAACUUUCCUUCUUCUUGGAAAUUCCAUGAAAUUUCACAAAUAUUUUUCCCCUGAUGGAAGAUCUACCCUUGGUUCUUUUCAGAUUGUCUUAGAAAUAUGCUGAGUAACUUCCUUCCCAAACUGUGUAAUAAUAUUCUUGUUUAUAAGCCAAAUUGAUUUGGAUAUAAGCCAGGUCCCCACUCAGGAGCUUGUAAGCCUCCUCUGCCUAGCUAUAGUCUAUCAAUCCAUUUACAAGACCUCCCCAUCCUCCUCCUCCUCCUCCUCCAUAAAUUUAUAAAUUUAUAGAGGGACAAGGAAUUAGAAAAGGUGAAUCUAAUGACAUUCUUCACUAGCCAAUGGCUAAUUUUAUAUUGCUAUUAUUGUUCUUGUUAUGGGUUACUCUGAAUCAGUUUGUGAAAGGACAAGGGAAAAACAAAAGCAAACAAAAACUCCAAAGCAGCAGAACGUUGGUUCAAGAUAAGCAAAAUAUGCAUGCAGUUGUGCCAUUAAAAGAUACAUUGCCAGACAAUCAAAUUCUCCUUAAUUUGGUUGUUGGCAUCUUUGUUCAACUUCUGUCAAAAAGAGUCAAACAGAGCAUUAAUUUUUGAAGCAAAACCUCUCUGAUUAUUUCACUUGUGAUUUAAUUCAGAGCUAACCUCGGGGCACUGAAAGGUCAUAUGUGAAUCAGGUUAGUCCCCUAACCACCAUGCCCAUUUUUUUAAAGUCAUGUUUCAUGAUGCUUUCCCCUAUUCUGCUGCAUUUCUUUUCCAUUUUUUCUGCUAUCGCUGUGAUUUCCCUGCAAAACGUUACCCGAGGUUUGAAAAGAUGCUUUAAAAGAAGGAACAUCAAUGCAGGGAAAAAUAAUAUUUCCCUGGGGGGGGGGAAACCUGUUUUAAGGCACUGGUUAGAAAGCCUUUCUUUGACUCAGCUUGGAGUGGGAGAUUUGAAUUUCUUUGUAAGCCUUGAGUUAGGAAAAUAAAAUUAAAAUCUAAAGCAGGGUAAAACGAGGUACAAAAGACCUUUCAAACUUUACCACCAAACUUGUAGGCAGAGAAAUUUGGUGGCUGUUUUCUCCAGUUUUCUACAGAGGAAGUUCACCAGCUCUUUCCCAAUGGAUGGGUUGUAACUUCUACCAGAAGUCAGUGAAAAAAAGUUCAAAAACUUUAGCCCUGGCUCUACUCUCUAUGGAGAUUCUCAAUUAUCCAGGUCCCAGUUGUCGCAAAGGUGCUUUUUUCCCCAAAAGGCAACCUUUGAAAACAUUUCGCUGAAUCCAUUCCAGAACUGAAGAAACUUUGUGGAUGAGAAGUGGAAUGUUUUCAAAGAAAAAGAACCAAGAAAGUCCAGCUGCCUUUUGGAAAAAGCACCUUUAGGACAACCCUGGCUCUACUAUGGCUGAAUGAAGUGUGGAAACCAUGAAGGAAGCAGACCAUGUGUGAGAAGACUCUGUAGUAGAAAUCAGAAUAUUUCUAAGGUUUUAUUGGCUGCUUCAUAGCCAGAUAAAUUCACCUUUCCCAAACAUGAAAUAGGAAUACCACUAGAAAAAGUUGAAAGGAUCACACACCUCAGUUCCAAUUUACACAAAAGCUGGGACAUGACUGUUGAAGUAAAGACAAGGAUAGAAAAAGCCCGAACAGCAUUCUUCAAAAUG